AGGGGUAUAGUGUCAGCGGCUAGCACGGCGGUCUCCAAAACCGUAAGGCCGGGUUCGAAUCCUGGUACCCCUGCCA
rnacentral:tRNA from 1 species